rnacentral:lncRNA from 1 species
CCACUGACUGUUUUCCCUGCUGUUAAUAUCUUACAUCAGUGUGCUUUUUGUCAUAAUUAAGAACUAAUAUUGAUACAUCAUUACAACAAGAAAAACAAAAGAAAAACAACCUAAGUGUCCAUCGACAGACAAUUGGAUUAAGAAGAUGUGGUAUAUAUACAUAAUGGAAUACUACUCAGCCAUGAAAAGAAUAAGAUAAUGCCAUUUGCAGCAACACAGAUGGAACUAGAGGACUCUAAUACUAAGUGAAGUAAGUCAGAAAGAGAAAGACAAAUACCAUAUGAUACCACAUAUCUGAAUCUAAUAUAGGGUACAAAUAACCUUUCCAAAGAAAAGAAAAUCAUGGACAUGGAGAACAGACUUGUGGUUGCCAAGAGGGAGGGGGAGGGAGUAGGAGGGACUGGCAAUUUGGGAUUAAUAGAUGCAAACUAUAGCCUUUGGAAUGGAUAAGCAUUGGGAUCCUGCUGUAUAUCACUGGGAACUAUGUCUGGUCACUUGUGAUGGAGUAUGAUAAUGUGAGAAGAAAGAAUGUGUACAUGUAUGUGUGACUGGGUCACCUUGCUGUGCAACAGAAAAUUGACAGAACACUGUAAAUCAGCUAUAAUGUAAAAAAUAAAAAUCAUUAUUAAAAAAAAGAAAAUUUCCACUUAUAGAUCUUCCUUCCCUAAUCCAAUUUUUUUAUUGUUGUUGGUUCUGUAUGUGCCAUUUCAUUCCAUUCCUAUCAUUUUCAUCAUGGAUGUCAGAAGACAUGAAAGUGAGAGGUCAAUUGACCAUUAAAAAUUGAAAGUCUGUUUUUAAGGUUGUGAUUUUAAAACAUAAGGUGGUAUAAUUACUACCUCUCAUUGUUUAUUUAAUAUUUGUCAGUUUUCUAGAACAAUAAAAUAAUAAAAAUAGACCAUGUAAUGGUUUCCUCUCAAUAAUAUAAAAAUAUCAUUUUCGUCCUUAAGAUUGAAAUGAGAAAAAAUAAGGUAAAAAGUCUCAUGGAAAUUGGAACUAGUCUGAUCUAUUUUGUUGAUUUUAAAUUGUCUGAUAGAUUAUUUGUUGUCAGGAAAAAGAGAAUUUUGGAUAGAGUUUCAGAAGUUGACAAAUAGGGCUGAAUGAAACAAUUGUGUUGAGGAAGGGUUUUCUAAGUCUUCACUGACAGAUU